rnacentral:rRNA from 1 species
UACGUAGGUGGCAAGCGUUGUCCGGAUUUACUGGGCGUAAAGAGCGCGCAGGCGGUCGUUCAAGUCGCGUGUGAAAGCCCCCGGCUCAACUGGGGAGGGUCACGCGAUACUGAUCGACUCGAAGGCAGGAGAGGGUAGUGGAAUUCCCGGUGUAGUGGUGAAAUGCGCAGAUAUCAGGAGGAACACCAAUGGCGAAGGCAGCUCGCUGGGACGGUACUGACACUGAGACGCGAAAGCGUGGGGAGCAAACAGG